GCCUACUUAGCUCAGUUGGUUAGAGCACCUGACUGUUAAUCAGGGGGUCGCUGGUUCGAGUCCAGCAGUGGGCG
rnacentral:ncRNA from 14 species